ACUUCACCCCAGUCGCUGACCCUACCGUGGCCGGCUGCCUCCUUGCGGUUAGCGCACCGUCUUCAGGUAAAACCAACUCCCAUGGUGUGACGGGCGGUGUGUACAAGGCCCGGGAACGUAUUCACCGUGGCGUGCUGAUCCACGAUUACUAGCGAUUCCAACUUCAUGGGCUCGAGUUGCAGAGCCCAAUCCGAACUGAGACGGCUUUUUGAGAUUUGCUGGGGCUUGCGCCUUUGCAUCCCAUUGUCACCGCCAUUGUAGCACGUGUGUAGCCCAGCCCGUAAGGGCCAUGAGGACUUGACGUCAUCCCCACCUUCCUCGCGGCUUAUCACCGGCAGUCUCCUUAGAGUGCUCAACUGAAUGGUAGCAACUAAGGACGGGGGUUGCGCUCGUUGCGGGACUUAACCCAACAUCUCACGACACGAGCUGACGACAGCCAUGCAGCACCUGUCUCCGGUCCAGCCGAACU
rnacentral:rRNA from 1 species